GGCGGAAGCCUGAUGCAGCGACGCCGCGUGAGGGAUGACGGCCUUCGGGUUGUAAACCUCUUUCAGCAGGGAAGAAGCCACAAGUGACGGUACCUGCAGAAGAAGCGCCGGCUAACUACGUGCCAGCAGCCGCGGUAAUACGUAGGGCGCAAGCGUUGUCCGGAAUUAUUGGGCGUAAAGAGCUCGUAGGCGGUUUGUCGCGUCUGCUGUGAAAGCCCGGGGCUCAACCCCGGGUCUGCAGUGGGUACGGGCAGACUAGAGUGCAGUAGGGGAGACUGGAAUUCCUGGUGUAGCGGUGAAAUGCGCAGAUAUCAGGAGGAACACCGAUGGCGAAGGCAGGUCUCUGGGCUGUUACUGACGCUGAGGAGCGAAAGCAUGGGGAGCGAACAGGAUUAGAUACCCUGGUAGUCCAUGCCGUAAACGUUGGGCACUAGGUGUGGGGGACAUUCCACGUUCUCCGCGCCGUAGCUAACGCAUUAAGUGCCCCGCCUGG
rnacentral:rRNA from 1 species